rnacentral:rRNA from 1 species
GAGUUUGAUCCUGGCUCAGAUUGAACGCUGGCGGCAUGCCUUACACAUGCAAGUCGAACGGCAGCGCGGACUUCGGUCUGGCGGCGAGUGGCGAACGGGUGAGUAAUAUAUCGGAACGUGCCCUGGAGUGGGGGAUAACGUAGCGAAAGUUACGCUAAUACCGCAUACGAUCUACGGAUGAAAGUGGGGGAUCGCAAGACCUCAUGCUCCUGGAGCGGCCGAUAUCUGAUUAGCUAGUUGGUAGGGUAAAAGCCUACCAAGGCGACGAUCAGUAGCUGGUCUGAGAGGACGACCAGCCACACUGGAACUGAGACACGGUCCAGACUCCUACGGGACGCAGCAGA